rnacentral:rRNA from 1 species
CGCGGCCUAUCAGCUUGUUGGUGGGGUAAUGGCCUACCAAGGCGACGACGGGUAGCCGGCCUGAGAGGGUGACCGGCCACACUGGGACUGAGACACGGCCCAGACUCCUACGGGAGGCAGCAGUGGGGAAUAUUGCACAAUGGGCGAAAGCCUGAUGCAGCGACGCCGCGUGAGGGAUGACGGCCUUCGGGUUGUAAACCUCUUUCAGCUCUGAAGAAGCGAAAGUGACGGUAGGAGCAGAAGAAGCACCGGCUAACUACGUGCCAGCAGCCGCGGUAAUACGUAGGGUGCGAGCGUUGUCCGGAAUUAUUGGGCGUAAAGAGCUUGUAGGCGGUCUGUCGCGUCUGCUGUGAAAACUCGGGGCUUAACCCCGAGCCUGCAGUGGGUACGGGCAGACUAGAGUGUGGUAGGGGAGACUGGAAUUCCUGGUGUAGCGGUGGAAUGCGCAGAUAUCAGGAGGAACACCGAUGGCGAAGGCAGGUCUCUGGGCCAUAACUGACGCUGAGAAGCGAAAGCGUGGGGAGCGAACAGGAUUAGAUACCCUGGUAGUCCACGCCGUAAACGUUGGGCGCUAGGUGUGGGGCUCAUUCCACGAGUUCCGUGCCGCAGCUAACGCAUUAAGCGCCCCGCCUGGGGAGUACGG